rnacentral:rRNA from 1 species
CGCCAGACUCCUACGGGAGGCAGCAGUGGGGAAUAUUGCACAAUGGGCGAAAGCCUGAUGCAGCAACGCCGCGUGAAGGAAGAAGGGUUUCGGCUCGUAAACUUCUAUCAACAGGGACGAAAGAAAUGACGGUACCUGAAUAAGAAGCCCCGGCUAACUACGUGCCAGCAGCCGCGGUAAUACGUAGGUGGCAAGCGUUAUCCGGAUUUACUGGGUGUAAAGGGCGUGUAGGCGGGAGUGCAAGUCAGAUGUGAAAACUAUGGGCUCAACCCAUAGCCUGCAUUUGAAACUGUGCUUCUUGAGUGCUGGAGAGGUAAUCGGAAUUCCGUGUGUAGCGGUGAAAUGCGUAGAUAUACGGAGGAACACCAGUGGCGAAGGCGGAUUGCUGGACAGUAACUGACGCUGAGGCGCGAAAGCGUGGGGAGCAAACAGG